GCGGCGUGCUUACGACUUUUACAAGUCGAACGAACUUCCCGGUUAGUGUGCGGACGGGUGAGUACGCUGAAUCUGCCCUCAGGAGGGGGACAACAGCUGGAAACGGCUGCUAAUACCCCAUAUGCCGCGAGGUGAAAUGAAUUUCGCCUGAGUGAUGAGCUCGCGUCUGAUUAGCUAGUUGGUGUAGGUAAUGGCUCACCAAGGCAUCGAUCAGUAGCUGGUCUGAGAGGAUGAUCAGCCACACUGGUGACUGAGACACGGACCAGACUCCUACGGGAGUGCAGCAGUGGGGAAUUUUACCGCAAUGGGCGAAAGCCUGACGGAGCAACGCCGCGUGAGGGAUGAAGGCCUCUGGGCUGUAAACCUCUUUUAUCACAGGAACGAAGAUCUGACGGUACUUGAUGAAUAAGCCACGGACUAAUUCCGUGCCAGCAGCCGCGGUCAUACGGGAGUGGCCAAGCGUCAUCGGACAUUAUUGGGCAGUAAAGCGUCCGCAGGCGGACCUUCAAGUCUGACUGUUAAAAACAGUCGGAGCCUU
rnacentral:rRNA from 1 species